rnacentral:piRNA from 1 species
CCGAAAGACCCACAUCCGGAAGGCCUCGUU